AGCUUGAGGUGUGAUCAAUCGCUCGUUGUCGUGGUCUCGCACUGCUUCGUCGCCGUUGAUUCCGAUGGCUCCGUUCGUACGCGCUUGUACAUCGAGACUGACAGGCAGUCGGUCACGAAGUAGGCGGUGUAGGUGCGCAGCUCGAUAACGCAUCCGAUUCACGCCCAAUUGGAACACCAACAUAUUGUCAAGAUUUUUUAUUUUGUCACGUUUUUUGUGAAAUCGAACCAUGUAAUCGCGUGAUUGUUAAUAGUUGUGACACUAGAAACUUGUCGCAUGUGAGAUACUCAAAUAUUUAUUCAGAAUGAGGCCUGUGUUAAUCAAGUGAGAUAUUUAGAUUUCAAUUUGGAGUUAGAUAAGAACUUUUCAGGUGGAUUACACGACUAUAGAUAUAAAUGUCACAUAUACCAUAAUUCGAUUGCAGAACUUGGAUUUAAUUCUGAGUAAAAAAGAGGGUAUGCAAAAUUAAAAUUUGAAAACCGUUAUUCAAACAAGAAAAUGUUACAUAUUCUUAUGUAUUUUGAAUCGUAGAAUUCGAAAAUGACCAUGAAAAUUAGGGGACUAGCGGGGAAAACGUGGGAAAUUAAAAAAAAUGGGAAAAAACAUGAAAUUGUAAAAACUCUCUGACGUAAUUUUUUUACAUUUCUACGUUUUCUUGCGUUAUUUUUUUCUUGUUAUUUUGAGUCACAAAAUCUCUAGUGAACUAUCUGGAGGUACUCAACAUAUUGCUCGACAUUUAUUCAAUAUAUUUGUGAUGGCAUAUUAAUGAAUAAAAAACAUAUUACUUUACUAUUAUAAUAAUUUACGUAAUUACACAUAUGUAUAUGCAAUACGAAUUUUGCCUUCAUUGGCUGAAUAUCUUACUAUAAAAACCUCGAUAACUUCGAGACAGUUAACAUAAUGUGAAUAUAAUUAUAGCAUUUUGAAAAGAUCUCAAGAAGGGCUAUAAGAAUAUGUAAUAAAAAAUAAGAGGUUUCAAUAAAAAAAUUCAAGAUAAUUUUUGUUUGACUUUGGCGACGUAAUCAAAAGUUAAACUGAUAAAGAGAGUAAAUAGAUAUUUUUAAGCCAUACAACUUUUAUCUCAAACAUUUUUUUUCUACAACUAUAUUUCUCAAAAUAUUUCGCUGAGCUGGAACUUUUUGCACACCUUGUACAUAUGUUAAGUACCUCCAAAUAGUUGACUCGAGAUUCUGCGACUCAAAAUAACAAGAAAAAAAUAACGCAAGAAAACGUAAGAGUAAACGUAAAAAACUACGUCACGAGAGUUUUCACGAUUUCACGUUUUUUCCCAUUUUUCUUAAUUUCCCACGUUUUCCCCGUUAGUCUCCUAAUUUUCAUGGUCAUUUUCGAGUGCUAUGAGUCAAAAUACAUAAGAAUAUGUAAUAUUUUCUUGUUUGAAUAACGGUUUCCAAACCCAAUUUUGCAUACUCUCCUUUGAGUAUUUCACAUAAGACAAGUUUUAAGUGCCAACUAAUAAUACGAGCCUUAGUUUUACAGUUAAAUUAUAUAAUAUAUGUGAUAUUUAUAUCUGUAAUUUAACUGAAAAACAAUUAUUAACUUAAUAACAAUUAUUUAACUGAGAAACAAUUAUUAAUUUUUAUAAGUUUCUUUGUUAUACAAUUUUUAUUUAAUUUUUAUUAAAUUUAUUGCAAUAACUAUUAGUACGGACCUUAAAAAUUUAUCUCGCCGCUUUCAAAUAGAAGAAUAACGCGAUAAAUAACGUUUGAAAAUGUUGUUGGCAAAUACGCACUAAUAAACUGUCCUCUUUUCGCUCAAGCGAUCGGAGCACACUUUUUAAAGUA